GUCUGUUCACAUCUUACCGGGCAGCAUUAGACUAAUGAAUUAAAUACGCUAAUACUGUCAGGUAAAGAUGUCGUCCGA
rnacentral:pre_miRNA from 1 species